UUCUGAAAACAUGAAAUAAUGUUGAAAGAAUUCACAAUGACAGUUAUUCCCUCUCUCUUCCCCAGGGCCUAGGAAACUGAUUUACAUCACCAAGGUUACAAGAAGGGAAUUUCUGCCCUCCAGAGGUACUGAAAGCCCCUUGGACUUGAAGAGUAUCCUGAAUUUCUACUAUCUUCAGCAAGAGAAGAAAAUAUUCAGCACCAGCUAUCAUGAAUAACUGUGAAUGGAAGGAUUCUUCUAUGUGGCCAUUCCAAUGUUCCUAAAUGUGCAAGCAAAUAGUGAUUAAGAAUAAAUGUUUAAGAU
rnacentral:lncRNA from 12 species